rnacentral:rRNA from 1 species
UAAUACGGAGGGUGCAAGCGUUAUCCGGAUUUACUGGGUUUAAAGGGUGUGUAGGCGGACUUUUAAGUCCGUGGUGAAAUCUCCGGGCUCAACCCGGAAACUGCCAUGGAUACUAUUUGUCUUGAAUAUUGUUGAGGUGGGCGGAACGGGUCAUGUAGCGGUGAAAUGCAUAGAUAUGACCCGGAACACCGAUUGCGAAGGCAGCCCACUAAGCAAUGAUUGACGCUGAGGCACGAAAGCGUGGGGAUCAAACAGGAUUAGAUACCCUGGUAGUCCACGCCCUAAACGAUGAUUACUCGACGUUGGCGAUACACUGAUCAGCGUCCAAGCGAAAGCAUUAAGUAAUCCACCUGGGAAGUACGUUCGCAAGAAUG